CUAAACCAUUAUGAGCAAUAAAACACACUAACUCAGCAAAUAUCUUUUCACUUACAUGGAGGAAAUAAUCUGAAAAUCGAUUACAUAUUUGAUCAUUUGAGACUGCAAACAUCGAGUUUUCUAAAUUAUGUCGGAAUCCUGAAACCAUGAUUUUUGUCUCAGAGUAUACUUUUUAGAUGAAGAUGUUUACCCUUCCAUGUUGAAGUAAAUGGAAAAACCUAAGACGUGUAAAGUGUAAAGAUCAUUGUGCAAAGAAUUUGACAUGUUUUUAAUAUUAGUGAUGUUGUCAGACACAACUUCCCAGCUUCAGGUUACAAAAUGCUCCGUAGAAAGAUCUGUUAUUCGGAGCAAACAUUUUUGAUGAAGCAUCAGUUAUUUGUGUGUUUUUUUCCCUUCCACAGUCACAGACCUCCAGUUUUCCCAGACUAUUCACGGCCGGCCUGUACCAUUUGCUACAGCAGGAGAUUGUUAUAGUGCAGCCAAGUGUCCACAGGGCCAGUUUAGUAUUAACCUGAUUGGAACGGGUCUUAAAGUGGCUCCAAACACCAAAUGGACAUCUCAAGGGAACUAUGUUUCUAUUAAAGUCCACAGAUCUGAGGAUGGAACAAGAAUUUACGGCCGCUGCGGUGGUUUCUGUGGGAAGUGCAUUCCCCACGCUCAAAAUGGUCUUCUCCUCCAAGUUCACUGAGAGCCAAGCUGAAAACAAAUCUCUAAAUUCAAUUUCAUGACAGUGGGCCAGGAAUGCACAAUAACCGUAAUUUGUUGGAUCCAGUUGUUGGCUUCGAGCACAAAGGACGAGCAUCAACUGUGACAUCUCCGGUUCCCAGAUGGCAGCUAAAAGACACAGAACACAGCCCACUUAUGCAGCACGCGGUCACCAUAAAGUGUUUCAUUAAAACUGAAGACGAGCCAGCUGUAUUCGCUUGCCAGCCAUUUUGCUGUGGCACUGUUUUGUGGUUUGGAAAUGUUUUGGAGUCAGGACCUAAUAGUCAAGAACUAGAAACAGAAGGAAUACAGUGUCAUCCUUUCUCUUUUCAAGUGAAAUAGUUUCAUCUUAAAACAGCUUUUUCUAGUUUGUGAAUUCAAAGGGUUUCUCCGGAUAACGGUUUGCAGGUAGUGACACAGUGUUUUACACAAAAAAUAUUAACAAAUUAUUGGUUAUCCAUGUAUAUAGCUAAGACAGUAAAUCUCUUAUGUAAAUAGGCCUUUUCAAGGUACCUAAGUAAUGAUGGCAUUCCUGACCUGGCUCACGUAAGAGGUCAAUGUAUAGGAAAACAUUGUUACCUACAGUAUGUGUUCCUACCGCAGUCCAUGUUUCAUCUUCAGUUGUCAGAUACAGUAAUCUUGAUCCUCAUCGGCACCACUGGUAAAGAUGUGUAAAAAACUUGAUUAGGCUUUUUCUUUUCCUUCAAGAUCCUCUGAGUCGUUUGUGAACAACAAAUUAUUUAAACAAGUGCCAAAUGUAGGAUUGGAAACUCUGUAGCUGUAAACAAAUGCAUGUCAUUUUAUCAGUGUUAAACUUAACUCACUCACCAAUGACAUUCUGGAUGCUGCAGUCUGUAAUAUUCCACUUCUUUGAAGCAACAGAUGUUUUUUUCAGUGUUUUGCAGGACAGCUGUAAUAUUUUGCUCCAACACAGCGUUACCUAAACUAAGAAAGCUACUAUACUGUCCUGACACUGUCACCUAAAACACACACAGCUUCAUCUCGGCUGUUCUUGCACCUGCAUCCGGAGAGCUUUGCUGAUGUAGUAAGCUAG